UACAGAGGUCUCAAGCGUUGUUCGGAUUCAUUGGGCGUAAAGGGUGCGUAGGCGGCCUGUGCAAGUCAGUUGUGAAAUCUCCGGGCUUAACUCGGAAAGGUCAACUGAUACUGCUCGGCUAGAGUGCGGAAGGGGCAACUGGAAUUCUUGGUGUAGCGGUGAAAUGCGUAGAUAUCAAGAGGAACACCUGCGGCGAAGGCGGGUUGCUGGGCCGACACUGACGCUGAUGCGCGAAAGCCAGGGGAGCGAACGGG
rnacentral:rRNA from 1 species